rnacentral:rRNA from 1 species
GGGCGGCUCAUUAUAUCAGUUAUGAUUUACUUGAUUUUGAUUAUCUAUGGAUAACUGCGGUAAUUCUGGAGCUAAAACAUGCAUCAAAACCCAGAUCGUAAGAGGCGGGUGCACUUAUUAGACUUAUACCAGCCGGGCAGCCGAUACUGGUGACUCUGAAUAACCCAGCCGAUCGCUGCUUCGGCGGCGACGUCUCAAUCAAGUUUCUGCCUUAUCAACUUUCGAUGGUAGUUUAUGUGACUACCAUGGUUGUAACGGGUAACGGAGAAUAAGGGUUCGACUCCGGAGAGGGAGCCUGAGAAACGGCUACCACAUCCAAGGAAGGCAGCAGGCGCGCAAAUUACCCACUCUCAAUACGAGGAGGUAGUGACUAACAAUAACGAGACAGCUCUCUUUGAGGGUUGUUAUCGGAAUGGGUUCAAUCUAAACCC